CGCACGCACGCACGCACGCACGCACGCACGCACGCACGCACGCACGCACGCACGCACGCACGCACGCACAGUGGUCUGCCUAAGAAACACCAAACUGGCUGGGGCCUCAUACCUCAUACCUGUUCAUGGUCCAGGCUGUGCUUGGCUGGAAGACGGGACCUUACUGUAGAAAGACUGAUGGGAACAGCUUGGCAUGGAUGCAGUUUGGGGUCAGACGAGAAGCUGUGCACGGAGCUGCGUCCAAAAUACUGAGGAACAUGAAUCCGUGGGUCGCUCAGUGGUGCAAAAGCAGAGCCCAGCCCAGCACCCACCCUUCAACUACCAGACUUCCCAGAAGGAGAACAGAAUGGGGGACAAUCUCCUGUGACUAGCUACAUACUCCUAUGGAAAGCACUCACCCCACCUUCUCCAGGAUCAGGUCCUGCAGGAGGCCAAGUGUUACUCUUUUCAAGUGCUCUCCUGGUUUAUAAAAGGUUGAGACUACUGUGAUUGGAGCUCUGUUGCUCGAAUGAAAACCCAGCCAGGGAUGGGUGGAUUGUGCUUAGCAGGACUACAGAUGAUGUUGACAGACGUGGUGAGCUGGGAACAUGGUAUUCAUUAUAGAAAUUGUGUAU